rnacentral:rRNA from 1 species
GACGAACGCUGGCGGCGUGCUUAACACAUGCAAGUCGAACGGAAAGGCCCUGCUUUUGUGGGGUGCUCGAGUGGCGAACGGGUGAGUAACACGUGAGUAACCUGCCCUUGACUUUGGGAUAACUUCAGGAAACUGGGGCUAAUACCGGAUAGGAGCUCCUGCUGCAUGGUGGGGGUUGGAAAGUUUCGGCGGUUGGGGAUGGACUCGCGGCUUAUCAGCUUGUUGGUGGGGUAGUGGCUUACCAAGGCUUUGACGGGUAGCCGGCCUGAGAGGGUGACCGGCCACAUUGGGACUGAGAUACGGCCCAGACUCCUACGGGAGGCAGCAGUGGGGAAUAUUGCACGAUGGGCGGAGGCCUGAUGCAGCAACGCCGCGUGCGGGAUGACGGCCGUCGGGUUGUAGACCGCUUUCGCCUGUGACGAAGCGUGAGUGACGGUAAUAGGUAGAGGGACGCCGGCUAACUACGUG